rnacentral:lncRNA from 1 species
CUGCUUUUAAUGAAUCUCGGGAAAAAUUAGUCUCAGGAAUGGUGGUUAGAAAUGUUUCGGGGGAGGUCCUCGCCUUCAAAAUAGUGGUUCACGGGGAGGUGAUGUUGCGGAAACGUCGAUAAUAUUAAUAACAAUAUUAUCAGAAAUAUUUAGAUAAUUAUUAUGCCAACAAUUAUACUAAGAAAAUUCCAGUUAAAUUGGAGGGGUCACAAAUGGUCCCACUUAAAAACCAACAACUAGACAGAACUCACUUAGUUAUUUAUAGCAAUAAUAACUAAAUAAAUAUAACCAACAUAAAGCUAUUAAAUAUAAGCAAACAAAUGAGAAAUAAAACACCAGAAUUUUAACGAGGUUCGGCCAAUUUAGCUUACGUCCUCGGACACUACCAAAUUAAAAUUUCCUCUAGAAAUAUUACAAAAGAGAAGAUCAACACCAAGUUACAAUUAGCUACUUGGAUUUUCAAAAUGAGAUUUUAGGAUGAUGAAACCUAAGGGGGAGGGGUUCUAUAUAUAACAAACCAAACCCCCUCCCUUUCUAUCUUUUCCCAAUGUGGGAUAUUGCCAAUAUUCAACAAAUCUCCACCUUGGCGAUAUUCCACAUUUUCAAACAUCUUCUCAUAACACAAACUUCAAUAGUGUCUUCAAAUUUGCGCCAACGAUGCCAUAUCAAAUGUGUCGGACAUUGAUCAAGUCUAAACAAUGUUCAAACUUGGCCCUUGUAACCACCUUAGUCAGCAUAUCUGUAGGAUUUUCCGUAGUGUGAAUCUUUUGGAGAAGUAUCUCCUCUUCUUCGAGAAUUUCCCGUACAAAGUGAUAGCGAACGUCUAUGUGCUUCGUUCGUGCAUGAAAGACCUGAUUCUUUGCUAAAUGAAUAGCACUCUGACUGUCAGAAUAUACCUUAAGUUGUUUCUGACCAACUUCCAAGUCUUUAAGCAAUCCGUGAAGCCAAAUUGCUUCCUUCACAGCCUCUGUAAUUGCCAUAUACUCUGCCUCUGUUGUAGACAAAGCCACCGUGGACUGUAAGGUAGAUUUCCAACUAACUGGCGCUUUUGCUAAAGUAAACAAAUAGCCAGUUGUAGACCGUCGCUUAUCCAAAUCACCUGCAUAAUUAGAAUCACAAUAUCCAACUAUGCAUUGACCAAGUGAUUCAUCCCGCUCGAAUGUCAAUCCGACAUCUAUGGUAUUUUGGAGAUACCGCAGAAUCCAUUUCACAGCUUGCCAAUGACCCCUGCCCUGAUCAUGCAUGUACCUGCUAACAACACUAACAGCCUGUGAAAUAUCUGGUCUCGUACAUACCAUUGCAUACAUCAAGCUUCCAACUGCAUUUGCAUAUGGGACUUUUGUCAUGUACUCUCGUUCUUCCUUAGUCGUUGGAGAUAACUGGUUACUCAGUUUAAAAUGAGGAGCAAGUGGGGUACUUACAGGUUUUGUACCUUCAGACAUACCGAAACGUUGUAGUACCUUCUCCAAAUACUGUUUUUGUGACAGCCAAAGCUUGCCCCUCUUUCUAUCCGGAGUUAUUUCCAUGCCGAGAAUCUUCUUGGCUUCCCCUAAAUCCUUCAUCUCAAACUCUUUACUCAACUGAGCCUUCAGUCUAUCAAUCUCCAUUUGGCUCUUUGCUGCAAUCAGCAUAUCAUCAACAUACAAGAGUAAGUAAAUGUAGGAACUAUCUUGAAGCUUGCGCAAAUACACACAAUGAUCGUAUUUGCUUCUUUUGUACUUCUGGUCCUUCAUGAACCUAUCAAAUCGUUUGUACCAUUGUCUGGGAGAUUGUUUCAAUCCGUACAACGAUUUGCUAAGUUUACAAACCCAAUUUUCUUUACCAGCAACCCUGUAUCCAUCUGGCUGAGUCAUAUAGAUUUCCUCCUUCAAAUCACCGUGUAGAAACGUGGUCUUCACAUCAAGUUGAGGUAGCUCCAAAUUCAACUGCGCUACCAAGGCCAACAAAAUUCUAAUGGAGGAAUGUUUAACAACUGGAGAAAACACCUCAUUAUAGUCAAUUCCCUCCUUCUGAGUGUAGCCUUUAGCCACCAACCUUGCCUUGUAACGAACAUCUUCUUUGUCAGGAAAUCCUUCUUUCUUUGCAAAUACCCAUUUGCAACCAAUCGCCUUAUUCCCUUUUGGUAGUUGUGCCAGCUUCCACGUCUUGUUUUUCUCUAGAGAUUGCAUUUCCUCUUCCAUUGCACCUAACCAUCUAUCAUUCUCUGAACUUUGAAUGGCUUCGGUGUAAGUGGAUGGAAUAUUAUCAACAACUGGGAAGUGCAUAAGCUACCAUGUCAGUGAAACGAGCAGGUUUCUGAAUUUCUCGUCUCUGCCUUCUGACUGCAAUUGGCUCUGAUUGUUGUUGAGGUUCUUGGGUAGGAACCUCUUCCUCAUCUGACUCUGCAUCUGCCAAUGAAGAAUCACUAGUGGUACCUUCUGCUGGNNNNNNNNNNNNNNNNNNNNNNNNNNNNNNNNNNNNNNNNNNNNNNNNNNNNNNNNNNNNNNNNNNNNNNNNNNNNNNNNNNNNNNNNNNNNNNNNNNNNCCACACUCUGCUCAAACUCCACCUGAUGCGGAGUACACUCCACCUGCUGCGAAGUACUACUCACUCCUUCUGGAUUUACCUUAUUCAACAUGGAAGAUUCAUUGAAGGUAACAUCCCUACUGAUUAUCGUCUUCUUUGCUUCUAGACACCACAAACGAUAUCCCUUAACACAAGCAUUGAAGCCCAUGAAUAGAGCCUUCUUUGCUCUUGGAUCUAACUUUGAUUCUUUCACAUGAUAAUAUGCAAUAGAACCAAAAAUACGCAAGGUGUCAUAAUCAGUAGCAGGUUUUCCAUACCAUUCCUCCAAAGGAGUCUUGCCAUUUAUAGCAGAUGAUGGCAAAUGAUUGAUGAGAUGUUGAGCGUACGUCACAGCCUCAGCCCAAAACUUUCUAUCUAAUCCAGCAUUAGAUAACAUACAUCGAACUUUCUCCACAAGCGUUCGAUUCAUACGCUCUGCCACCCCAUUCUGUUGCGGUGUUCCACCUACGGUAAAGUGCCUUACUAUGCCACAAUCUUGGCAUAUCUUCAGGAAUGGAUCGCUUUUAUAUUCUCCACCGUUGUCUGAUCGGAGAACCUUAAUCUUCUUUCCUGUCUGAUUUUCAACUUUAGUUUUCCACUUAAGGAAAACUUCAAGCACCUCAUCUUUGUUCUUCAUAGGAAACACCCAAACUCUUCUGGAAAAAUCAUCAAUAAAGGUGACAAAAUAACGUCUUCCUCCAAGUGAUGGAGUCUUGGACGGUCCCCAUACAUCAGAAUGCACAUAAUCCAGAAUACCUUUAGUAUUGUGAAUCUCAGUGCCAAAUUUCACCCUUCGUUGUUUUCCCAUAACACAAUGCUCGCAAAAUUCAAGUUUUCAAGUCUUUGUACCUUUCAAUAAUCCUUGCUUGGCUAGAGUUUGCAAGGAUUUUUCACCAGCAUGGCCCAAACGCAUAUGCCACAGCUGUGUUGCCUCAGCGUCCUUCUUGGUACUCGAAAUUGCUGCUGCUGUUGUCCCCACCACUGUACUACCUUGGUAGUAAUACAGAUUGUUCUUUCUUAUGCCUUUCAACAUCACCAAUGCUCCUGAAGUUGCUUUAAGAACUCCAUCUCAUAUUGUCACAACUAGGCCUUUAGACCCCAAAGAGAUGAGAUUCUUCUUCAACUUUGGGACAUAUCGUACAUCCCACAAAACUCUAGUAGAUCCAUCAUGAUUCCUCAGUUUAAUUGAACCUAUCCCGGUUGUUUUACAUGUGUUAUCAUUACCCAUGUGAACAACCCCUCCAUCUAGUUUUUGAAAUUCAAAGAACCAUUCCCAAAUGGGACACAUAUGAUAGGAACAACCAGAAUCCAAGAUCCACUCAUCUGCAUGUAAUGUUGAAGAUGACAUACUAAGAGAAAAGUCUGACUCUGCUUCACUAUUGCAUUCUGCAACAUUUGCAUCUUGCGGAGUCUUCCCUUUUUUCUUCAAUUUUGGACAAUCUUUCUUCCAAUGUCCUUUUUCUUUGCAAAAUGAACAUUCAUCUUUGGCAACAGCUCGACCUUUGGACUUUCUUCUCUUCCCCUUAGAAUGACUUUGCUGACGACCUCUUGUUACCAAUGCUUCCACUGUUGCUUCACCUGAACCUUUCAACUUAUCCUUUCGGCGUAGUUCAUAGCUAUACAAUGCAGCAGUUACUUCAUUGAAAGUUACUUCCGACUUUCCCUGAAGUAGAGUAGUUUCAAAGUACUCAAACUUCUCAGGAAGCGAUCCCAACAACAUUAACGCCAAGUCUUCGUCUUCAAAAGUCACAUCCAAAUUCAACAAAUCAGCCACCAGCGGACUAAAAUUGGUAAUGUGCUCAUUCAUCGUGGUACCAGGAACAUAACUGAAACGAAACAGUCUUUUCUUCAUAUGCAACUUAUUUUGACUGUUCUUCUUCAGGAAUUUCUCCUCCAAUGCUUUCCACAACUUACUUGCAGAAGUUUCUUUACUGAAUGUAUACUUCUGCUCUCUGGAAAGACAUGAUCGAAUUGUACCACAUGCCAAUUGGUUGAUGGUCUUCCAUUCUUUAUCAUCAACCCCUUCUGGUUUUUAUUCCUCAAUGGCAAUAUCUAGACCCUGUUGAAAGAGGGCAUCUAGAAGCUCACUUUGCCACAUGCCGAAAUAACCUGUUCCAUCAAAAAUUUCCACUGCAAAUCUCGUAUUUGCAGUUCCAACCCUCGACAAAAUGUACGAGGUGGAAGUUGUUGAUGUGGAUGGUUUUUCUUCUGUCAUUUUUGUCAUAGCUUCUAUUUAAUAGCCACCAAAUGUGGAAUACCCACAAGCUUUAGGAAAUGUUUCUGAUGUGUAAGAUUAGACUAAGCUGCAAACACAGAGCAUACUACAAAACCUUGGCUCGAAUACCAAUUGUUGCGGAAGCGUCGAUAAUAUUAAUAACAAUAUUAUCAGAAAUAUUUAGAUAAUUAUUAUGCCAACAAUUAUACUAAGAAAAUUCCCAGUUAAAUUGGAGGGGUCACAAAUGGUCCCACUUAAAACCCAACAACUAGACAAAACUCACUUAGUUAUUUAUAGCAAUAAUAACUAAAUAAAUAUAACCAACAUAAAGCUAUUAAAUAUAAGUAAACAAAUGAGAAAUAAAACACUAGAAUUUUAACGAGGUUCGGCCAAUUUAGCUUACGUCCUCGGACACUACCAAAUUAAUAUUUUCGCUAGAAAUAUUACAAAAGAGAAGAUCAACACCAAGUUACAAUUAGCUACUUGGAUUUUCAAAAUGAAAUUUUGGGAUGAUGAAACCUAAGAGGGAGGGGUUCUAUAUAUAACAAACCAAACCCCCUCCCUUUCUAUCUUUUCCCAAUGUGGGAUAUUGCCAAUAUUCAACAGGUGGCCUCUUAGUUUGUAGUAGAUGCCAUUGUGUGCCUCCAAGCAGUGUUCAUGGGAAAACAGAUGGGGUUCACAUCAGUUGUUAUCGAAGGAGACUCAGUAUUAGUAAUAAAAAAAAGUAAAUCAGAUAAGAUUGAUAAAUCAGUAAUUGGGGGUAUAAUACGAAACAUUCAAUAGCAAAAGUAAUAUUUUCACCAAAUACCCUUUCAACUAACAUACAGAUCUGCAAAUCUAGUGGCUCACAAUUUAGCUAGAGAGGCAAUGAGAGAAGAAUCGUGAGCAUACCUGAUCGGAAGAGUCCCUGAGCAAGGAACAUUGGAGGUGGAUCUGCGAAGAAUGAGAGAACCUGACUGAGUGAUGUUCGAUAGGUGGCCUGUGAGUGGGAAGAGAAAAGGAAAUUGGGAUAGUUGAUGGGUUUUGGAAACCGCUUUUCUGGGGACUGGAAUCGGUGCAUUUAUUGCGG